rnacentral:tRNA from 2 species
AUUUAAAUAGCUUAAUUUUGAGAGUAUAAUAUUGAAGAUAUUAUGGUGAUUAAUAAAUCUUUAAAUA